GAACCAGCACGCAGCGCACGAGCGGCAGGCUGUGGAAGAGAGUCGUGGCCGUCGACUGGUUGUACAUAACCCGCAGCGGCAAGUAGUACACCUUCAGACCGUGCGUCAGGAUUGGCUGGAGGACAGACAAUUAGCAAGAUGGAUUGUGUCAAGUGUAUUUACAGAUGGAUGUGAAGCCAGAGUCCCAGGAACUGUUGACCAUAGUGACUUACAAAUCGAUGUUCAGGUACCGAAGGCUUUCGUUUGACAUCACUUGAGCUCUUGCAUUUUUUCAGUGAGCAAUGGGCCAGAUCCUGAGUGCUUUGACAAGGGUGCAAUGCUAUUUGGAGGAAUUGCUCAAUACUGGGAAUUAUGAGCGUAGGCACCUACAAAACCUGGAUACUACACUACAAAUACUCAUGGAAUAUUAGCUAAGGGUUCAGAAAGGCAAGUUCCUUUGACCUUCGAUUGAAUAUUUGGACUAUGUGAUCAACCAUUCAAGACUUCACGAGGCACUAUCAAAAGUGAAGACAAUUAUAGAGGCUUCAUCACCACAGAAUGUAAGUCAAUUAAAGUCUUUCUUAGGACUACUAAUACACUACACAAAGUUUUAUCCUAAUCUGGCUAGCACAAUGAACCCACUUCAUGAGCUUUUAAGUAAACCAAUACACUAGCAAUGGACAAAUCGCUGUGAAGAGACUUUUAAAAAGGCCAAAACGGCAAUGCCACAAUGUGAAGCACUCACAUACUUCAACCCAUCAUUGGUCAUACAGUUGGUCUGCGACAUCUCAUCCUGUGGUCUGGGGGAAGUUAUCUCACACAUCAUGCCAUCAGGUGAAGAGCAUCCAGUCGCUUUCACAUAAAGGACAUUAAGCAAGGUAGAAAGCCAGUAUGCCCAGGUUGAGCAAGAAGCACUUGCAAUUGUCUUUGGAGUUAAGAAAUUCCAUCAAUUGCUCUUUGGUUGACAACUUAUGCUACUAACAGGUCAUUGCCCUUUGACAUCAUUUGUUUGGUUCACAUGCAUUCCUUCCCUGGUUACCAGCUGAAUGCAACAUUGGUUUCUGUUACUAUCAGUACCAUAUAAAGCACAGGAGGUCGAAGCACCUUUUGAAUGCUGAUGGACUAUCCAGACUUCCCUUAGCUGAUAGAGCCCCAGAGUCAUCCUUGAAAGAGAUCUUUUACUUCAAGGAAUUACCUGCAGCUCAAGUUGAGAAGGACAUGCCUACUGACCCUUUUCUAACUAAAGUGGUGGACUUGCUGGCUGUUCCACGAGGCUUACUCGUCUCUGCGAUGACCUGAGGCUGUGGUCUGCAACAGGCUCCUGGACCGGCUGUGACUGGUUUCGUGGCUUUGGACUCACUUUCACCAACUUCAGUUCCAAAUGUUACUUGCUUACUUUUAUGGUUUACAUGCUUUGUUUUUCCCCUGCACAUUGGGUGUUUGGCAGUCUUUUUUUAUGACUGCCUGUAAGGAGAUGAAUCUCAAGGUUGUGUUCAGUAUACACACUUGGAUAAUAAAUGUACUUCGUAUUUAUGUG